rnacentral:rRNA from 1 species
UGGUGGGUAGUUUGACUGGGGCGGUCUCCUCCCAAAGCGUAACGGAGGAGCACGAAGGUUAGCUAAUCCUGGUCGGACAUCAGGAGGUUAGUGCAAUGGCAUAAGCUAGCUUGACUGCGAGCGUGACGGCGCGAGCAGGUGCGAAAGCAGGUCAUAGUGAUCCGGUGGUUCUGAAUGGAAGGGCCAUCGCUCAACGGAUAAAAGGUACUCCGGGGAUAACAGGCUGAUACCGCCCAAGAGUUCAUAUCGACGGCGGUGUUUGGCACCUCGAUGUCGGCUCAUCACAUCCUGGGGCUGAAGUAGGUCCCAAGGGUAUGGCUGUUCGCCAUUUAAAGUGGUACGCGAGCUGGGUUUAGAACGUCGUGAGACAGUUCGGUCCCUAUCUGCCGUGGGCGCUGGAGAAUUGAGGGGGGCUGCUCCUAGUACGAGAGGACCGGAGUGGACGCAUCACUGGUGUUCGGGUUGUCAUGCCAAUGGCACUGCCCGGUAGCUAAAUGCGGAAGAGAUAAGUGCUGAAAGCAUC